UGAUGGAGGACCUUUGCAGAGUGAGG
rnacentral:piRNA from 1 species